CUACCAGUUAAGCUAUUCACGUAUAAAAUAUAUUGCUAACUAGACAGUGCGACAUUUUGAAGUUGUGAGCAGCUAAAAGGAUUGAACAAUCAUGCGUUUGUUGGUGCUCGGAAUUGUCGGCGUGUUGGGCGUAGCCAUAUUUCUUGGUUGCUCCACAACCGCCUAUAAAAUGAGCUCAUACGGAGGCUACGGAGGUGGAUACGGAGGUGUUGGAUAUGGCGGCUACGGAUACGGCGGCGGUGGCGGAGGCGGUGGAUUCGGUGGCGGUGGGAUCAUCUCGAUGCUCAUUUACCUUUUUGUUUUCAUCAUAAUCAUCCGUCUGCUGUUCGGUGGAGGACUUGGUAUAGGUGGAGUCGGCGGAGGCGGAAAGGGCAACAGCUAUUAGAAAAUCGACGGAUGAAGUUUAACUGAUAACAUCGGACGGACAGGGCAUUGACCUACCUUGUUUAGCAGUUGUUAAUCAGUUGUAAAAUUCGAUUUUCAAUAAAUGUUGAAACAUA